GACGAACGCUGGCGGCGUGCUUAACACAUGCAAGUCGAACGGAAAGGCCCUGCUUUUGUGGGGUGCUCGAGUGGCGAACGGGUGAGUAACACGUGAGUAACCUGCCCUUGACUUUGGGAUAACUUCAGGAAACUGGGGCUAAUACCGGAUAGGAGCUCCUGCUGCAUGGUGGGCGUUGGAAAGUUUCGGCGGUUGGGGAUGGACUCGCGGCUUAUCAGCUUGUUGGUGGGGUAGUGGCUUACCAAGGCUUUGACGGGUAGCCGGCCUGAGAGGGUGACCGGCCACAUUGGGACUGAGAUACGGCCCAGACUCCUACGGGAGGCAGAAGUGGGGAAUAUUGCACAAUGGGCGGAAGCCUGAUGCAGCAACGCCGCGUGCGGGAUGACGGCCUUCGGGUUGUAAACCGCUUUCGCCUGUGACGAAGCGUGAGUGACGGUAAUGGGUAAAGAAGCACCGGCUAGCUACGUG
rnacentral:rRNA from 1 species